CGCCCGUCAAACUAUGGGAGCUGGUAAUAUCUAAAACCGCAAAGCUAACCUUUUGGAGGCAUGCGUCUAGGGUAGGAUCGGUGACUGGAGUUAAGUCGUAACAAGGUAUCCCUACGAGAACGUGGGGAUGGAUCACCUCCUUUCUUCGGAGUAAAUUUUUAAUUUACGUACUAAUAAGUGUACAUUUUUAUAAAAAUCCAUGUGAAUAUUAGCCACUUUUUUUAAAAAAUAUUUCAAAAGUUCAUAUGGUCGGAUUCUAUUUAGUUUUGAGAGUUUAUUCUCUCCCAUAAUAUUUUAUAUAUUAUGGAUGAUCGAUCUUUGAAAACUGAAUAAUUAUCAACAAAUCUUUCUAAUCAUUGACAUUAAGUUGUCAGUGAACAGAAACUAUAUUAAUUAAUAUAGUUAACAAUCAUAAACAAACAACUUUAAGGAUUUAUAAUAAGUUACUAAGAGCUUAUGGUGAAUGCCUUGGGACAAACAGGCGAUGAAGGACGUGCUAAUCUGCGAUAAGCAACGGGUAGCUGAUAAGAGGCUUUAAUCCGUUGAUCUCCGAAUGAGGAAACUCAGUCUAAUGAGAAUUAGAUUACUGUAUAAAUGAAUUCAUAGUUUAACAGAGCGAUACCUGGUGAAGUGAAACAUCUCAGUAGCCAGAGGAAAAGAAAACGAAGUGAUUCCCUGUGUAGCGGCGAGCGAAAGGGGAGGAGGCCAAACCGAAUUUCGAUUCGGGGUUGUAGGACUACAAUAUGGACUAAAAAUUGAUAGUAGAAUUGGUUGGGAAGCCAAAUCACAGAGGGUGAUAAUCCCGUAUACGAAAUUAAUUUUUUACCUAGUAGGAUCCUGAGUAGGGCGGGACACGUGAAAUCCUGCCUGAAUCCACCCAGACCAUUGGGUAAGCCUAAAUACUAGUUUGUCACCGAUAGAGCAUA
rnacentral:sRNA from 1 species